GUGCGUUCAGAGAUGCUCUUCUGCCUACCUUGGUUGUAACGGGUGGUUAUUUGAGUCACUGUUGCCUUUCUAUCAGCUCGAACCAGUCUGGCCAUUCUCCUCUGACCUCUGGCAUCAACAAGGCAUUUCCGCCCACAGAACUGCCGCUCACUGGAUAUUUUUUCUUUUUCGGACCAUUCUCUGUAAACCCUAGAGAUGGUUGUGCGUGAAAAUCCCAGUAGAUCAGCAGUUUCUGAAAUACUCAGACCAGCCCUUCUGGCACCAACAACCAUGCCACGUUCAAAGUCACUCAAAUCACCUUUCUUCCCUAUACUGAUGCUCGGUUUGAACUGCAGGAGAUUGUCUUGACCAUGUCUACAUGCCUAAAUGCACUAAGUUGCCGCCAUGUGAUUGGCUGAUUAGAAAUUAAGUGUUAACGAGCAGUUGGACAGGUGUACCUAAUAAUGUGGCCGGUGAGUG